rnacentral:rRNA from 1 species
GAGUUUGAUCCUGGCUCAGAGCGAACGCUGGCGGCAGGCCUAACACAUGCAAGUCGAGCGCCCAGCAAUGGGAGCGGCAGACGGGAUAGUAACACGUGGGAACAUGCCCUUCAGUUCGGAACAACCAAGGGAAACUUUGGCUAAUACCGGAUACGCCCUUACGGGGAAAGAUUUAUCGCUGAAGGAUUGGCCCGCGUCUGAUUAGCUUGUUGGUGAGGUAACGGCUCACCAAGGCUACGAUCAGUAGCUGGUCUGAGAGGAUGACCAGCAUCACUGGGACUGAGACACGGCCCAGACUCCUACGGGAGGCAGCAGUGGGGAAUAUUGGACAAUGGGCGCAAGCCUGAUCCAGCCAUGCCGCGUGGAUGAUGAAGGCCCUAGGGUUGUAAAGUCCUUUUAACGGGGAAGAUAAUGACGGUACCCGUAGAAUAAGCCCCGGCUAACUUCGUGCCAGCAGCCGCAGUAAG